UUGUAUCAACGGCACCACGAGGGUUAGACUGUCUCCUUUUUCAAAUCAGUGAAAUUAAUCUCCCCGUGAAGAAGCGGGGAUACUCAUAUAAGACGAGAAGACCCCAUGGAGCUUCAAACCCAACUACACCCCUAGCUCUUAUAGCCCCACAACCCCCCUAGGCACCGUGUGCUUGGUUUUAGGUUGGGGCGACCGCGGAGUACAAUAAAACCUCCACAAUGAAUGGGAACACCCCCUUAUCUGAGGGCCACACCCCCUAAGAAUUAGAACACUAACAUAAAAUGAUCCAUUACUUGAUCAAUGAACCAAGUUACCCUGGGGAUAACAGCGCAAUCCAUUUCAAGAGCCCCUAUCGACAAAUGGGUUUACGACCUCGAUGUUGGAUCAGGGUACCCCAGUGGUGCAGCAGCUACUAACGGUUCGUUUGUUCAACGAUUAAAACCCU
rnacentral:rRNA from 1 species